AGUGAACGCUGGCGGUAGGCCUAACACAUGCAAGUCGAACGGCAGCACAGUAAGAGCUUGCUCUUACGGGUGGCGAGUGGCGGACGGGUGAGGAAUACAUCGGAAUCUACUUUUUCGUGGGGGAUAACGUAGGGAAACUUACGCUAAUACCGCAUACGACCUACGGGUGAAAGCAGGGGAUCUUCGGACCUUGCGCGAUUGAAUGAGCCGAUGUCGGGUUAGCUAGUUGGCGGGGUAAAGGCCCACCAAGGCGACGAUCCGUAGCUGGUCUGAGAGGAUGAUCAGCCACACUGGAACUGAGACACGGUCCAGACUCCUACGGGAGGCAGCAGUGGGGAAUAUUGGACAAUGGGCGCAAGCCUGAUCCAGCCAUACCGCGUGAGUGAAGAAGGCAUUCGGGUUGUAAAGCCCUUUUGUUGGGAAAGAAAAGCAGCAGGUUAAUACCCCGCUGUUCUGACGGUACCCAAAGAAUAAGCACCGGCUAACUUCGUG
rnacentral:rRNA from 1 species